UGAGUGUCUUCUUCCAGCCUUCCUCAUCUUCUUCUUCUCCUCCUUCUCUCCCUCCUCUCCUCCUCCCCAACUCUUAAGACUAUGGUUGAGUGUCUUCUUCCUGCCUUCCUCCUCUCCUCCUCCUCCUCCUCCACCACCACCAUCACCACCACUCUUGAGAGUAUGGUUGAGUGUCUUUUUCUUCCUGUCUCCUCUUCUUCCUCUCCUUCUCCUCUUCCUCCUCUCCUCCUCCUCCUCCUCCUCCUCCUCCCCAACUCUUGAGACUACGAUUGAGUGUCUUCUUCCUGCCUUCCUCCUCUUCUCCUUCCCCUCCUCCUCCUCCUCUUCCUCCUCCUCCACCAUCACCACCACUCUUGAGACUAAGGUCGAGUGUCUUCUUCCUGCCUUCCUCCUGCUCCUCCUCCACCAUCACCACCACCACUCUUGAGACUAAGGUUGUCUUUUUCUUCCUGUCCCCUCUUCUUCCUCUCCUCCUCCUCCUCCUCCUCCUCCUCCUCCUCCUGCAGGCACUGGGAAGAGGGCGUGGGGGGGGGGAGAAAGGAGGGCCUCUUCCCUGACUUUGGAAGGUGGCUUUGCAAAGAGAUUGCAGAUAACCCGGCUGGGCUGCUCCUCCUCCUCCUGCUACUACUACCGCAGUGGCGUCUUUUCCUGGGGGUGAUUGAUGGGGAGGGUGGAGCCCAGCUGGGUGGGGAUGUCUGCUGGAGGAAAAGGCACCGGCUGCUGGAUUAGCCUCGGGGCACAGAAGCUGGCCAGGCUGCGCGCCUCUCCUGCCACUCCUAAGCGGUGCAAGACCAGACAUGUCAUUCCGGUUCUUUACGUGCAACGCAAGACCAUCCGGCACAGAUGGAUGCUCGCCCUGAAGGAGCCCAACGAUGGAGGCCGUGCAGGUCUUCUCCACGGGAGACUUGUCUGGGGCCAGCCCUUCGCGGAGAGUCCUCGGGGGGGUCUCUCCCUCUUGCGGUCUUUGGCAAUGGUAGAACUCACACUGGUGAGCUAUCUGGUUCCGGUGGUUCUAGACUUGCCAACUACCGCCUGGGGGGGGUCAAGCUGAGUCACUGGUAUCUCUCUUUCCCUCUGGACCACUGAGGGGAGGGGGAGCUGAUGGUCAAGCUUCAAGGAUGACUGAACAGCCAACCAGCAUCUCAUCUCCUGAGUCAGUGGCUGGAGCAGGUACAGCCAGAUGUGGAAAAAAAAAAAACCAUUUCUCUACCUGGUCGAAGUCACAGGGUGAAUUCUACAUUUCCCUUGGUUUUCCGGCUAGGAGCUUGGCUUCCGAAGAAGAAAAUGCUUUCCUAUGCCAAAUAGUAACUUCUGUUCCCUUCCACGAGGACUAGAAACUUGGUUUUCUGGGGUUUUUUUCUUUUUAAAAAAAUUCAACAUCAAAAGUUGCCUUCCUAGGAAUUCUGUGUAAGGGAGCUCUAGAAUUGAGGCUUUUGUUUUGAAAAAGUAGAAAAUAGAACAGAAUAGAAUAUAGGAUAAGAUAGGAUAAGGAAUGGAAUAGAAUAAA